GUACGUAUCCCUGUUGGUUACAGAGACUAGAUGUCUUUUAAAGGUCCUUUCCAACUCUGAUGAUGGUGUGAUUGUAUGAAAGACCUCAACAUCUCAGGUUUCUCCUGCAUCACUUCUCACUGUGGGCCAAACGUUGCAGCCUAGUCACCAACCUGGGGUUUGGUUUUCCCUUCUGUAAUAGUUGGAGGCACUCAGCUGGAGUCAGCUGCCCACAACACAAUCUGGAGCUGCUUUUGUCCUUCAGAGUGUUUGACAGAUGCACCACAAAUGUAAAUACUGAGCCCAUUUCUUUCACUGUUUUUCUAUCUUUCUGAUUAAGGAACAAGUUAAAAGAAGUUGGAACCAGUGAUUAAGUGUUACAGAUUCAGCAUGUUUAUUCUGUUGAGAAGUCAAUAUGUGCGGUUUGACUGAAGUUUGUUUUAGAGAUGAACUUUGGACAAAGUUCAAAGAAAAAAAAAAUCAUCAUUCACUAUUACAGCAGAUGUACAAAGAAAUUGUAUGCCAUUCCUCCCAGAAGUCAGGCCGUGGCUCACAAUGACAAAGAAGAGCAGUCCCAGCCUCUGCACUACUUCUGGCUUCAUUUCCACAUCAGCAGAAAGGGCUUCCCCAGAUGUGAGCAGUCAUAAAGGGGACAUUGCUUACGGCUCUCGGGUGGCUGGCCAGGCUGACUAAGCACGCUUACCGAUCCCGCACACUGUUUAGAAUCACAAUGAGCUGGAAACUGCGUGCCAAGACGUGAGCGAUCCAGGGAGCAGUUACUCAUUUUUAAGCCAGCAGUAUGAACUAUCCCAUGAGCAAUUGCAGCUCCAUUAUCAGCUCCCAAAUAAUCCACCUCUGAUGCAGUGGUUCUGACUUCCUAGCGACUGCCUGUCUAGAAAUAUUUGUGAAAGCAGCUCUCUGCACAAACAUACCUUCAGGAUCCAAUCUGAGGGGUUCUACAAAGUGAGGAAACAUCUUCAAGAAUCAACCUACAUUGUCAUAUUUUUUGCAAAGGAGUUUGUCACAGCUAUACGGGUAUUAGACAGUGCCAACAUCUCCCUCACUGAAUCUGGGAUCGUAAAAAGUCUCUGAUUUCUGUCUACAUAUUGUCUUAGCAAGGAAAGAAAACGUUUUCUUGAAACUUGGCUGAAUAUUGAAUGAGCUUUAAUCACUGGGACGCAGAAGACAGUUACUGAGGUUAUGGUUGCACACAAAAUUGCAGUGAUUGAAAUGAAGAUUGGAAACUGACAGAAUUGUUCAAGCCUGUAUCUGUCUCAGAUCAGGUUCCAUAUACCCUUCUUCAUGGGUAAGAGGUAACACGUCUUGAUUCUUACACAGUUUUCACACCGUUCCACAUGAUGGUGUGGCCCCUUAGCAAACAAAGAAAUACAGGUAAGAUGAAAUCCACAAAAAGUAGGUGCAUGACUCAUUACAAAGAUACCUUUGGAAACAUUUAUCAAUUGUUCCUUGUCAUUCGGAGAGGAAUUUUCAAACGGGGUUCUCCCAACAUCUGUGUGGAAUCCAUUUUAUGCAGUAUUUUCAUUAACAACCUGUGACAAGGGAAUAAAGAGUACUCAUAAAAUCUGCAGACAUCGUCUAGCUGGGAGAGGAUGCAAACAGUUUGGCGGAUGGACUGAGAAUUCAAAAUGAUCUCGCUAAAUUGGAGAAAAUCAGCGACUCAGUAAAGAAAAGUACAAAGUGCUACACUUAAGAGAAGGAAAUCAAAAGCACAAAGAGAAAAUGGGGAAUAAACGGCCAGACAGCAGCACGGCAGAAAGGCAGCUCAGGGUGUGAGCCAUGGACUGAAUAGGAGUCAACAGUACCAUGCUGUUCCAAAAAAAGGCAAAGCUAAUGCUGGCUGUUGGGCGUGUGACACAUCAGGUACCUGUUUUGCCCCUCCUCGCACAGGAAGGCUGUACACAAACUGAACAUCUCAGAGCUGAGCAGCAAAUCUGAGAAGAGGUUUUGAAAGCGUGUUCUGUGAAGAAAGAUUCAGAAUUGCUUAAGAAAGGUGAGAUACAUACAGAAUAGUAUGGUCAUUGUUGGCUUAUCAAAAUGAAACUUUUUCUCUGACCACUGGGAGCAGGUUAAGAAGACAUUUCUGCUUCAGAUCAAGUACUCAAGUAAUGCAUGAAAACCACUGCCAUUUAGUUACAAUGUUGUUCAGCACGUUGUGACAAACUUCAUCGGGGAAAUCGUAGGUUUGCUCAGGCCUGCCAGCAGGCAGCUAAUGAAGGAUGAAGAUGGAAACAAGCCCAAGGCGUAUGUCCAGGGUGGCCACAAUUGAAUUGUGCCACCCCAGGAAUGAAGACAAAAUGAUUUAUUUUGUUACAAAGCCUGGAGAUGGCAAUAUUUAGUUUGACAGUGAGGGCAGAGCAACUUCCUUCUAUCUACUAAAUUAGAGAGAAACCCUGUGGCAGCCGGUGCAAAAAGGCCAUGAAUUAAGUUCCCAGCCCCUUCUGAAGCUCCGUCUGAACAUCUUGGUGAGGAGAUCCCAGGAGGUUUCUGGGGAACAAUAAAAAGUGCCUAAGCUCUCACCAGUGCAGAGUCUCUGCUUUUAGUCUCUUGUGCCUUGCCUACAUCCAUGUGGACAUAUUGUGUUUCCGUACCCAUCAGUCUCUGUUGUGAUUUAACUGGAAAUAAAAAUUGACAAAAUUUU